GAUAAACGCUGGCGGCGUGCGUUACGCAUGCAAGUCGCACGGUCCCUUUUUUCGGAAAGGGAUAGUGGCGGACGGGUGAGUAACACGUACGUGACCUGCCCUGUGGCGGGGGAUAACGGCGCGAAAGUGUCGCUAAUACCGCAUGAGCUCUCUUUCUUGCGAGGAGGAGAGGAAACCUGCAAAGGGUCACGGGAGGGGCGUGCGGGGGAUUAGCUAGUUGGUGGGGUAACGGCCUACCAAGGCGACGAUCCCAGCUGGUCUGAGGGGACGGCCAGCCACACGGGGACUGAGACACGGCCCCGACUCCUACGGGAGGCAGCAGCGAGGGAAUCUUGGUCAAUGGGCGCAAGCCUGAACCAGCGACGCCGCGUGGGGGAUGACGGCUCUCGGGUUGUAAACCCCUGUUGUGUGGGAAGAAGAACUGACGGUACCACACGAGGAAGCCACGGCUAACUACGUGCCAGCAGCCGCAGUAAC
rnacentral:rRNA from 1 species